GCGAGCGUAGCUCAGCUGGUUAGAGCGCCAGAUUGUGGUUCUGGAUGUCGUGGGUUCGAGUCCCAUCGCUCGCCCCA
rnacentral:tRNA from 1 species